UAGGGAAUUGUUCGCAAUGGGCGCAAGCCUGACGACGCAACGCCGCGUGGAGGAUGAAGGACUUCGGUCCGUAAACUCCUUUCGACCGAGAUGAACACCCCGCAAUUUAAUACGUUGUGGGACUGACAGUAUCGAGAGAAGAAGCCCCGGCUAACUCUGUGCCAGCAGCCGCGGUAAUACAGGGGGGGCAAGCGUUGUUCGGAAUUACUGGGCGUAAAGGGUUCGUAGGUGGCCAACUAAGUCAGAUGUGAAAUCCCUCAGCUUAACUGGGGAACUGCUUCUGAUACUGGUUGGCUUGAGUGCAGGAGAGGAAUGCGGAAUUCCAGGUGUAGCGGUGAAAUGCGUAGAUAUCUGGAGGAACACCGGUGGCGAAGGCGGCAUUCUGGACUGUAACUGACACUGAGGAACGAAAGCCAGGGGAGCAAA
rnacentral:rRNA from 1 species